CAAACCAAAGCUGGCGACCGGCGCACGGGUGAGUAACACGUAUCCAACCUGCCUCAUACUCGGGGAUAGCCUUUCGAAAGAAAGAUUAAUAUCCGAUAGCAUAUAUUUCCCGCAUGGGUUUUAUAUUAAAGAAAUUCGGUAUGAGAUGGGGAUGCGUUCCAUUAGUUUGUUGGGGGGGUAACGGCCCACCAAGACUACGAUGGAUGGGGGUUCUGAGAGGAAGGUCCCCCACAUUGGAACUGAGACACGGUCCAA
rnacentral:rRNA from 1 species